UACGUAGGGUGCGAGCGUUAAUCGGAAUUACUGGGCGUAAAGCGUGCGCAGGCGGUUUUGUAAGACAGGCGUGAAAUCCCCGGGCGUCAACCUGGGAACGUGCGUUUGUUGACUGCAAGGCUAGAGUAUGGCAGAGGGGGGUGGGAAUUCCACGUGUAGCAGUGAAAUGCGUAGAGAUGUGGAGGAACACCGAUGGCGAAGGCAGCCCCU
rnacentral:rRNA from 1 species